AAGUCGUAACAAGGUUUCCGUAGGUGAACCUGCGGAAGGAUCAUUAACGAGUUCGGGUCCUCUGGGCCCAAUCUCCAACCCCAUGUUUAUCACUAUUGUUGCUUUGGCGGGUCGUGGCUUCUGCCCGCGGUCUCAGCUGCUGGUGUGCACCCGUCAGAGACCAUUUUUAAAACUCUUUUAAAACCAUCAGUCUGAACAAGUUAUAAAUUUAAUAAGCAAAA
rnacentral:misc_RNA from 1 species